GAGAGAGAGAGAGAGAGAGAAUACGCACAAAACAAAAAAGUAAUGGCGGAGCACUAGUGCAGUCAGAAAAACAAAAUUCUCUUUCGCUCUCUACUCGUCCCUCACCCUUACGGUGUCGCACCACCGCCGCCGCCGACGGUGGGAUAUUUUCUAGGAAGAAAGAAAAGCUGAAGCAGUAGUUAGACAUACAAUAGGUGUAUAUGGGAGCAUCAUUGUCCAAUUUGACCGAGAAUGGGACCGGAAACGGGGGGCCGGGUCUAGGGGAUAUACCGGAGAGCUGUGUGGCGUGUGUGUUUCUCUAUCUUACGCCGCCGGAGAUAUGCAACCUGGCCCGGCUCAACCGCGCCUUCCGUGGCGCCGCUUCAUCCGACGCCGUUUGGGAGGCCAAGCUUCCUUCCAAUUACCACCUCCUCCUCCACCUCCUCUCCCAUCCCGAUGUAUAUCAAAACCUCUCCAAAAAAGACAUCUUUGCCCUCCUCUCCCGCCCUCUUCCCUUUGACGACGGCAACAAGGUGGUAUGGGUGGACAGAUUUACUGGGAGAGUUUGCAUGUCGAUAUCAGCCAAAGCAAUGGCAAUAACAGGCAUUGAGGACAGGAGAUAUUGGAAUUGGGUUCGAACAGAAGAAUCGAGAUUUAACGUUGUAGCCUAUUUGCAGCAAAUAUGGUGGUUUGAAGUUGAUGGCGUGGUAAAAUUCCCUUUUCCACCAGACAUAUAUACUUUGUCAUUUAGGAUUCAUCUUGGACGAUUUUCCAAAAGACUCGGACGCCGUGUUUCGAAUUUUGAUCAUACUCAUGGAUGGGAUAUCAAGCCCGUGCGAUUUGAAUUUUCUACUUCAGAUGGCCAGCAAGCGUCACAUGAGUGCUUCUUAGAUGAUAUACAUCAAGAUGAUGCUAAUGGGAGUUACAAGCGUGGUUGUUGGAUAGAGUACAAGGUGGGUGAAUUCAUUGUCAGCAAAUCAGAUCCUGAAACCGAAGUGAGAUUUUCAAUGAAACAGAUUGACUGUACACAUUCCAAGGGAGGACUUUGUGUUGAUUCUGUAUCAAUUAUUCCAGUUGAGUUGAAAGAACGUAGAAGAAGAGGGGUUUUGAAGUAAUAGUGCUGUUUGUGUUCCUUUGUUCUAUAUGGGGUUUUGUCAAUACGGCUUAUGCUUCUGAUAAGCAUUGGUACUUGGAGGAUUUCAUCUAGAUUGUUUUUGCUGUCGGAGCAUGUCUGGUGAACAUAAUGCAGUUACUUUCUUAUCAACUGGAGAUUUUAUCAACUAUGAUUCACUUUCUUAGCUUGGGAUGCAUAUUGCUUGAGCGUUGAGCAGAGAGAUCUAAUUUAUGGCUGAGGCUGUUCAUGCAAGUGCAUGUAUGCAAUUGAAUAAGGUUAAGAGUUCAGAAACCGGUACUUAUUAGAGUCACCUCCAUUACUAUAAUGAUACUUGUAUGAUAGAUGGGAUGAGGAGAAGAAGAAAUACUGGUUUUGCUCUAAAGCUCAAAACAAUUUUGUUUAAUAUCGACAGUUUUAGGUGGAAAUUUCUAACAUCAUUGAGGAAAUUUAUCCAUGCUUUUUGCUGUCUUUAUUGGAAACCUGGUGAAAUGAUCUGUGUGGC